UACGGAGGGGGGCGAGCGUUGUUCGGAAUUAUUGGGCGUAAAGGGUGCGUAGGCGGUUUGGUAAGUCUUAUGUGAAAUCUACAGGCUCAACUUGUAGUCUGCAUGAGAAACUGCCGGGCUUGAGUAUGGGAGAGGUGAGUGGAAUUCCUGGUGUAGCGGUGAAAUGCGUAGAUAUCAGGAGGAACACCUGUGGCGAAAGCGGCUCACUGGACCAUAACUGACGCUGAUGCACGAAAGCUAGGGGAGCAAACAGG
rnacentral:rRNA from 1 species